rnacentral:ncRNA from 2 species
UCCGUAGGUGAACCUGCGGAAGGGUCAUUA